rnacentral:rRNA from 1 species
AUUGAACGCUGGCGGCAGGCUUAACACAUGCAAGUCGGACGGUAACAGGGAGGAAGCUUGCUUUCUUUGCUGACGAGUGGCGGACGGGUGAGUAAUGCUUGGGAACCUGUUUUAUGGAGGGGGAUAACUACGGGAAACUGUAGCUAAUACCGCGUAAUAUCGAGAGAUUAAAGUGUGGGACCGUAAGGCCACAUGCCAUAGAGUGAGCCCAAGUGGGAUUAGGUAGUUGGUGGGGUAAAGGCCUACCAAGCCGUCGAUCUCUAGCUGGUCUGAGAGGAUGACCAGCCACACUGGGACUGAGACACGGCCCAGACUCCUACGGGAGGCAGCAGUGGGGAAUAUUGCACAAUGGGCGCAAGCCUGAUGCAGCCAUGCCGCGUGAAUGAAGAAGGCCUUCGGGUUGUAAAGUUCUUUCGGUGGUGAGGAAGGUUGUAAUGUUAAUAGCAUUAUAAUUUGACGUUAGCCACAGAAGAAGCACCGGCUAACUCCGUGCCAGCAGCCGCGGUAAUACGGAGGGUGCGAGCGUUAAUCGGAAUAACUGGGCGUAAAGGGCACGCAGGCGGAUACUUAAGUGAGGUGUGAAAGCCCUGGGCUUAACCUAGGAAUUGCAUUUCAUACUGGGUAUCUAGAGUAUUUUAGGGAGGGGUAGAAUUCCACGUGUAGCGGUGAAAUGCGUAGAGAUGUGGAGGAAUACCGAAGGCGAAGGCAGCCCCUUGGGGGAAUACUGACGCUCAUGUGCGAAAGCGUGGGGAGCAAACAGG